rnacentral:lncRNA from 1 species
GCAUAGAGAACCACUAGAAAAAAAUUGCAAUAUGUGAUUAUUAUACAUUAAAGUGAUUACUUAAAAAAUGUUUCCUGUCUGAAAAGUUUACUUAGAACUAAAUAGUAAUGGUGACAGUAUUGCAUAUAAUUUUUAUAGGUUAUCAUUUCAGUAAUUAUACUUUUUUAAAAUAAAAUAAUUCAAACAAGAUUUUCCAAGUAUUAUUUCUGGGUCUCAUAAUUAAAAAAUGUCAUAAUGGAUUUAAAUAACUUGACAUUUCUGCUUUGCAAAAAACAGAUUUAAACAUCAGGCCAUAUCCAGGUGAUAAAAAUCUUCUCCUCUUCAUAUUUAUUCUUCAUCUAAGUUAUCAUUUGAAUUUGUGCUAGUUAAAUAUUUUCUGAGAAGAAUAUUGCAUACACUAAAACGAAUCUUCUAAGCCAAACUAACCAGAUUAGUUACAGCUCAGGGGAGAGUUUGCAAAAUAAUAUUGCUAUUGUUGCCUUCUGCUUUGCUAUUUGCUGUUUUUAUUUUUAUAUCACUGAAAGUACAUUCCACACCAGAGCUUUAUAAAAAAUAAAAACCAUGCCUGUAGCAAAAGUACACUUUGUAUGCUUUAGCACUAAGCAAAAUAUUCUACCAAUAAAAUCUGAUGUUUGUGUUCAGCUGCUAAAAGGAUUUGGAAUUCAGAGACUGUCUUAGAAAAUGAGUGAGUCAAAUCAGGUGAACCCAAAACUUCAUCUAAAUUAAAUUCUGCCAUUUCAUCUUCACAUAUUAAUAUUUACUGACUAGUAUCUCAAACUUAAAUGAAUUUAAUCCAUAGGGUUGGUAUGCAAUUCCAGCAUUUGUCGCAUAUUAAAUUACUACACAUUUAUUACCAUAUUGAGUAUCUUAUUAAUUAAAAUGCAAUAAAAUGACUUAUUUAAAAUGCAUAACUACAUAAUUUGUUUUAUAGAU